GGAUAGCUCAGUCGGUAGAGCAGGGGAUUGAAAAUCCCCGUGUCCUUGGUUCGAUUCCGAGUCC
rnacentral:tRNA from 2 species